ACUCCUACGGGAGGCAGCAGUGAGGAAUAUUGGUCAAUGGAGGGAACUCUGAACCAGCCAUCCCGCGUGUAGGAAGACGGCCUUCUGGGUUGUAAACUGCUUUUACCAGGGGAUAAAAGAUCUUGCGAGAUUAAUUGAAGGUACCUGGAGAAUAAGCACCGGCUAACUACGUGCCAGCAGCCGCGGUAAUACGUAGGGUGCAAGCGUUGUCCGGAUUUAUUGGGUUUAAAGGGUGCGUAGGCGGGCUAUUAAAGUCAGUGGUGAAAAUCCAGCAGCUUAACUGUUGAUGUGCCAUUGAUACUGGUAGUCUUGAGUACAGAUGAGGUAGGCGGAAAUUGACAG
rnacentral:rRNA from 1 species